rnacentral:rRNA from 1 species
AACGAACGCUGGCGGCAUGCCUAACACAUGCAAGUCGAACGAGACCUUCGGGUCUAGUGGCGCACGGGUGCGUAACGCGUGGGAACCUGCCCUUAGGUUCGGAAUAACUCCCCGAAAGGGGUGCUAAUACCGGAUAAUGUCUUCGGACCAAAGAUUUAUCGCCUUUGGAUGGGCCCGCGUUGGAUUAGCUACUUGGUAGGGUAAAAGCCUACCAAGGCGACGAUCCAUAGCUGGUCUGAGAGGAUGAUCAGCCACACUGGGACUGAGACACGGCCCAGACUCCUACGGGAGGCAGCAGUGGGGAAUAUUGGACAAUGGGCGAAAGCCUGAUCCAGCAAUGCCGCGUGAGUGAUGAAGGCCUUAGGGUUGUAAAGCUCUUUUACCCGGGAUGAUAAUGACAGUACCGGGAGAAUAAGCUCCGGCUAACUCCGUG